GAUGAACGCUGGCGGCGUGCCUAAUACAUGCAAGUCGAACGCUGGAAAUCUAGCUUGCUAGAUUGAAGGAGUGGCGAACGGGUGAGUAAUACAUAAGCAACCUACCCACGAAGACUGGGAUAAUCUCUGGAAACGGGGACUAAUACCGGAUAGGUAAUCGGAAGGCAUCUUCUGAUUAUUAAAGGUUAAAAACACUGGUGGAUGGGCUUAUGGCGCAUUAGCUAGUUGGUGAGGUAACGGCCCACCAAGACGAUGAUGCGUAGCCGGCCUGAGAGGGUGAACGGCCACAUUGGGACUGAGACACGGCCCAGACUCCUACGGGAGGCAGCAGUAGGGAAUUUUCGGCAAUGGGGGAAACCCUGACCGAGCAACGCCGCGUGAGUGAUGACGGCCUUCGGGUUGUAAAGCUCUGUUGUAAGGGAAGAACGGUAGAUAGAGAAUAUCUAAAUGACGGUACCUUACCAGAAAGCCACGGCUAACUACGUG
rnacentral:rRNA from 1 species